AGUCUCCGCUGGGGCAACAGAGGGAAGGAGAAGGCCGGAGGGGGCUGUUGGUGCCCGGAGGAUCGCCCCUUCCCUCCCGGGGCGUCUCAGGCCUGGCGGACACUGAAAGGUGUGCGCAGAGCAGAGCACAGAGGGCCACCCGGGGAGCGGCAAUGUCUCUGAAGCCCCAGGCAGCGGUCGCAAGAAGCCCGAGAGGCCGGCAGCCAUCUCCUACGACCACUCGGAAGAGGGGCUGAUGGCGAGCAUCGAGCGGGAGUACUGCCGCUGAGGACAGCAUGCUCCACCCCCGCCAGGCCUCGGAGGCACCUGCUGGCUGGGGCACCCUCUGCUUGCACAGAGCUCUAGCAGGAGCUGAACCACCUCCAAAACGCAGUCACUCCCGGAUAUUCAAAGCUGCCCUUUCAAAUCCACUUUCAGACCGCGCUGACCUGGGCCAGCCACUGGCGGUCAUGGUUGCUGGUGGGGGCGAUUAGCUGUGUAGACCCACAGGUGCGUGGGCCUGGGCCG
rnacentral:lncRNA from 1 species